GUCAUGAUGGCCGAGUGGUCCAAGGCGUCAGACUUAAGAUCUGAUCCUCUGAUGAGGGCGUGGGUUCGAACCCCACUCAUGACA